rnacentral:rRNA from 1 species
UACGGAGGGGGCUAGCGUUGUUCGGAAUUAUUGGGCGUAAAGGGCGCGUAGGCGGCCGGAUAAGUCUGAUGUGAAAUCCCUCGGCCCAACCGGGGAACUGCAUUUGAAACUGUUCGGCUCGAGUCCGGGAGAGGGUAGUGGAAUUCCCAGUGUAGCGGUGAAAUGCGUAGAUAUUGGGAGGAACACCGGUGGCGAAGGCGGCUACCUGGACCGGUACUGACGCUGAUGCGCGAAAGCUGGGGUAGCAAACAGG